CCUCGGGCUGCACCCCAGAUAGAGGUGAUCCUGACGUGCCCUCGGUGACGGCUCCGCUCACCCAUCACCCGGGUGCGACAGUGCCGUUUGGGGUCCGUUCUGACACCGUGUGACAAACCACGCCUGCAGAGUCGCGUGGGGGCCGGUUUUAAGGCUCUGACCAAACGGGAACCACGAAGUACAUAGAGAUACAAGACCACCGGCCCUUCUGCAAGGCUGAAGACCUCUUCCCGGGGCCGAGGGAGACAGAGCCUUCCCUGUACUCCACGCUUUGGACUGGUGACAUUCUUUGAGAGUAUAAUUAAAAGAACUUGUGCUCUGCUCUCA